rnacentral:rRNA from 1 species
UACGUAGGGUGCGAGCGUUGUCCGGAAUUAUUGGGCGUAAAGAGCUUGUAGGCGGUCUGUCGCGUCUGCUGUGAAAAUCCGGGGCUCAACCCCGGACUUGCAGUGGGUACGGGCAGACUAGAGUGUGGUAGGGGAGACUGGAAUUCCUGGUGUAGCGGUGAAAUGCGCAGAUAUCAGGAGGAACACCGGUGGCGAAGGCGGUUCUCUGGGCCUUACCUGACGCUGAGGAGCGAAAGCGUGGGGAGCGAACAGG